UGGCGGUAGUUCACUUCACGUGGGUCGUGGGUUUACAGUUUUACAGUGGCUGAUGGUUUGUGAGAUAUUUACAUAACCUGCACUUCUUUUAGUUAAAAAAAUGUGGCCCUUAAUAGUGAGAUCCUUUGGCCAUUUUGGUAAAUAUAUUAUGCUUCCUUUUGUGGGUAUUAUUGGAUUCAUCGGAUACAACGUGGAGGGAUGGAUAUCUGACCGUUACACACCACCAACACCAUCUAUUAAGCAACAACGGCAGGAAAGAUUACUACAAAAUAUAGAUUCCUCGGCUACCAUAAAGAAACACAAUCCUUUAGAAGUUAAUCUUCCACCAUCAUUAUCUAAUUAGUUUACAGAUAUCAAAAUGUCUCAAACUUUUACUCCAAAUUUAUAUAUAACAAUGUGAUUGUAUUUUACACCUGGUCGCAGUAUGCUGUUUGGGAAGUUUUCCUGUAAAAAAUCAUAAAAUCAAUAUGUAAUCUUCUUAAACAGCUUGAUCCUAGUAAAUUAAAUCUAUAGUUUUGAAUUGAAAUUUA